rnacentral:rRNA from 1 species
AGGACGAACGCUGGCGGCGUGCUUAACACAUGCAAGUCGAGGGGGAGUAGGGGCAACUCUACUUCACCGGCGAACGGGUGCGUAACACGUGAGCGACCUACCCUGGUGUGGGGGAUAGCCGGCCCAACGGCCGGGUAAUACCGCAUACGCUCUUUGAGGGCAUCCCUUGGAGACCAAAGCCGUGGGGCAACUCACGGCGCAUUGGGAGGGCUCGCGGCCUAUCAGCUAGUUGGCGAGGUAACGGCUCGACCAAGGCGACGACGGGUAGC